rnacentral:rRNA from 1 species
AGUGAACGCUGGCGGUAGGCCUAACACAUGCAAGUCGAACGGCAGCACAGUAAGAGCUUGCCCUUACGGGUGGCGAGUGGCGGACGGGUGAGGAAUACAUCGGAAUCUACUUUUUCGUGGGGGAUAACGUAGGGCAACUUACGCUACUACCGCAUACGACCUACCGCUGAAAGCAGUGGAUCUUCGGACCUUGCGCGAUUGACUGAGCCGAUGUCGGACUAGCUAGUUGGCAGGGUAAAGGCCCACCAAGGCGACGAUCCGUAGCUGGUCUGAGAGGAUGAUCGGCCACUAUGGAACUGAGACACGGUCCAGACUCCUACGGGAGGCAGCAGUGGGGAAUAUUGGCCAAUGGGCGAAAGCCUGAUAGAGCCAGGCCGCGUGGGUGAAGAAGGCCUUCGGGUCGUAAAGCCCUGUUGUUGGGAAAGAAAAGCUGUCUGCGAAUCCCCCGCUGUCUUGACGGUACCUAAAGAAAAAGCACCGGCUAACUUCGUG